rnacentral:rRNA from 1 species
AUGAACGCUGGCGGCGUGCCUAAUACAUGCAAGUCGAGCGAACAGACGAGGAGCUUGCUCCUCUGACGUUAGCGGCGGACGGGUGAGUAACACGUGGAUAACCUACCUAUAAGACUGGGAUAACUUCGGGAAACCGGAGCUAAUACCGGAUAAUAUAUUGAACCGCAUGGUUCAAUAGUGAAAGACGGUUUUGCUGUCACUUAUAGAUGGAUCCGCGCCGCAUUAGCUAGUUGGUAAGGUAACGGCUUACCAAGGCGACGAUGCGUAGCCGACCUGAGAGGGUGAUCGGCCCCACUGGAACUGAGACACGGGCCAGAAUCCUAAGGGAGGCCGGAGGAGGGAAUCUUCCCCAAAGGGGGAAAGCCUGAAGGAGCAACGCCGCGUGAGUGAUGAAGGUUUUCGGAUCGUAAAAAUCUUUUAUUAGGGAAGAACAAAUGUGUAAGUAACUAUGCACGUCUUGACGGUACCUAAUCAGAAAGCCACGGCUAACUACGUG